ensembl:lncRNA
AGCGUCCCGAGCGGUGGAGGCGCGUGCAGCUCGCGGCGGGACGGGCGGCGUGUGGGGCUCGGCGGCGACGGAACGGCAACGGCCGUGCAGACCGGCAGCCCCAGUUAGAAGUUCUGCAUGUGGGAGAGAGGUGCCCCAGUCUGAAGAUGCUCAACGAUGCUUCUGUACACGAGGCACUACUGAAAGAUGAAGUGGCUCUUUGAACAGUAAGGCAUAUAUAAUGCUUCCAUCACCGAGGGAAAGAACUCUGAGCUGGUUUUACAACAGCAGAACAUUGUCUGGCUGAAGCAUUAUGACAGAAAGGGAUAGUAAUACAGCUGUUAAAAGUUUGCUCUCUUCUGUACUCAAGGAAUCCAUCAAAGAACUCUUCUAGAAGAAGAGCCCAUAUGGGGAGUAAGACAGCAUGAUGUAUGAAUCCCAUCGCUGAAAUCAACUCUUGGAUUCAACAGUGCCAUUUGAACGGACAAAACCAUUAUUUUCUUUAGCCAUUCAAGCAAGGGAAACAUACUAACUCAAUUGCCAGCAUAGCUACCAGAAGGAAAUUGUGUAUGCUUUUUAGUAUUCAAGUCCUUGCUCUAUUGCCUUACUCAUAUGAAAUUCAGCAUCUCUUUUGAAAACAGCAAAACAAUGACUUUGUCUCCAUUUUAAUUUGGAAGGAGUCCAAAUUAAGCUAUUAUGAGAGAUAAAUGAUAUAAUGAGAGUUGCAUGCAAUUUACUGAAAAAAAAAAUGAACAAGCAAAAUGACCUCUCAAAUGUUUGCAUUUUUCUUUUUUGAACUUACUGAAAUUUUUAUGUUCUAGGUAGUGAAGUCAAGUUUCAUAUUCAGCUUUCCUGUUAAUGUUAACAUGUACAUGACAGGUUCCAACUAAGCAGAAAAAUAGGACAUUAGGAUGCCAACCUAGCGUUCCGUUAUUAUCAAGAAUAAAUGAACUCAACUUAAACAGAGUUUCUAUAUUAACUAUUUCCAGAAUACACUCCUAUGCAGAACACUGUCUCGUAGGAAUUUGACUGGCAAAUAUCAGAUAUUCUGGCACUGAAAAGAAAAUCUGAGAACCUUUGUUACUGAAGCUGUAGUGGUGAACAAAAAUAGACUGCAAGCACUGGUGGAAACAUGGGCUACAGGGCCCUGUGAUCACAAACCUUCUGAGCAGGAAAGUCUGCCCGCUUAUAGAAAAGGUCAUCUUCAGUUUUGCAGCUCCAGGCUUUUAAUCUUAAGUAAGCCAAUCAGAUCUGAAUUAAGUGAUGAACGUAUUAUGUUAAUGAGCAUAAUUAUGCUAAUGAACAUUCCUUCAAGGAAUCUUCAUUCUUGAUUCAUUAGUUAGAUGUUACCAUCUGAAACCAAUGGAAAAUGUUUUGAAAAACUCAAUUAACCCCUCUGGGGUAAUCUUAAGACCUUAACAGACUGUCUUCCAGUGCUACCUCUGUUAUUUAUUCCCAGAUUUGUCUGUAGUCAUCAUUUCACUCAGAGUCCUCUGCCUUUUUAAACUUAUUUUUCUUCUGACAGUUACUUCAACCCUGCCGGAAAAACAAAACAAAACAAAAAUCUAUAAUCAUGUUUUAUUACUGCACUGCAGGCUCUGCAAUCCAGAUCCCAACAGUAUCACCUUCUGAACAAGCAUGGGAAAAUGCUAAAACAGCAGAAAAGUUGUCAGAGCCUGCCUGCACUAUUGACUAACCAGAGACUAGCUUGGGACAGGCACUAUCCAGCCAGCAAAUAGGCAGCUUUCUGCAGUACACUGUGUACUUCUUAGGGAUGGCACUUACUGUUUGGUGCCAGUGUGCUCCCGUGUUACAUUCCUGGUCCCACACAAUUACAUGUGUAUCUAAGGUUGCACUUACACUCCCACCUGUUAAGGUAACACACAGGAAGUAUCAUGGUAAGCUAUUAACAGCACAUGUUUUUACAGGACAGUAGCCUAUUUGUUCAGAUGAAUUCAAGUCACUUAAAAGUUAUUCCAUCCAUGGCUGGUAUUAAUAGCAUCCACACGUGUAACAUUUAUAUCAGUGGACAUAAAUCAGCAUCAGUCUAUUAAAUUCAAAACCACAUCAUUUCGGCUCAGCAGCUGACACUACAGGCUUACAAAAGAAACACUUAACAUAUACUUUUCCAUGAUGAAACGUGAGAAUAUGUCUAUUGAUGGUUACGUGUUCUCUACAAGAAGCCUCUCUGAGCCUUAAGGUUUACUUUCCAUAAUCAGCAGCACCUCCCCAGUGGGUUUUUAAUAUGUUUUAUCAGCUUAGAGUUCCUGAACAUCACACUUGCAUGUGGAAAGGCCAGAGAAUUGCCAGCUCUCGAUCAGCUGCAGUGAAAGCACAGCUUUGUAGUCCCAAAGCCCUGACUAUACCUGGGAGUGCAUACAUGGUAUCUGAUUGAAGUUACAGGUGUUAUAAUUCUCCUCUUGCCAGUGGGUCAUUAUUUCACUCCAUCAAAAGAGAAAAAUAAAACAUGUGAAGAACUCUGCAGUGACCUGCUUAGUCCCACAGAGGUCACAGUAGAGACUGAUUUAUGAUGACUGACAACUGCCUAUGAUUAUGAAAAUUGCUAGCCAGGACAGCAUAUAUUACUGAUGCCUGCUGAAUAGGGCACAGAGAAAUCAUUUUCCCUUUUAGUAUUCCUAAAGGUUUACUGUUCUUAGCUUUAUUCAAAGAAACUUAAGACCCGAGGAAAACAAUGCUGCGUAUAUAAACAGGGCAAACAUUAUGCUGUUAUUUAAAAAUGUCAGCCUGAUACUUGAUGUAAGGUUCUGACUUAAUAUGUAAGGCAAAACAAAUGAGUUUGAAAAUCUCUGUUUAGUGGUUUAGAAAAUGGGAUCUGAGAUUGCUUUAAAGAAGGUCAUAAAGACCUCUCAACCUCUCCUUUUAUUUAUGUUUUCUCAAAUAUAUUGACUGGCUUGAUGGUGCACCACAGACAAAUAUCUACAUGCUUCACAUAAUGAAACAGUGUCAUUACCUUAUCUGGACAAACUCCCAGUGUAAUUGCAACCAAAGUAAAACAGCUCUGAGACUGCAAAGAAGUGUCAAAACAGGAAAUACAAUAGCACAGACCUGAGAUGUUUUCCAUUUGCAGACUUUCAUAUAGGUGUCUUUUUUCAUACUUUUAGCCCUAUAUUGGAAAGCAUAAUUUGAUGAUAGACGUGAAACUGUGUAUUAGUUUUUAUUUUGACAAAUUCAUUAGACAUCACAUAGCUUGAAAAAUGAACCAGGAGGCACUAAGUCAGCCUGAGAAGAUUGUACUUCAUAAACUGAAUUGCUCACAUGGGCAACAUUUUGGUGGAAGUUAUAGAUUUUCUAGCAUAUCCCUGAUAGAUAGCACUAAUAUAACUUCAAUAAAAACUCUGGAUAUGUCAAUAUAAAAUUUUUUCAAGCAUCGAAAGAUGUAAGAUACUUCAGCUAAUAAAUUGGAAGAUUCCCUGUUCCUCAAGGUACACUAACUUACACAUCAGAUUAUAAAGAGUAUUGAAGCCACACAGAGUACAGCAGGCAGCUGUAGGUUUGCUGCUUUUAGAAGUUGCACUAAAUUGAAUUAUCAAUAUAUGAAAGUAAUAAUUGGAAAUUAAGAUCUAGAUGACCCUUUUUGUAAAAAUGUUAGCAUUCUUCAAUUUUUAACUGUUAGAUGAUAGACAAUUUUUCAUAGCUGACAUGACUGAUAGACUGUAUUUGAUGCAAAUAAUUGAUGUUCCUUCUCUCUCUUCCUAACACAUGACCUUUCACUUACUUCCUUAUAUUGUUACCACUUCCAGAUUGAUACGGUAUUGGAAAUGCAAAUGGUUAUCCUUCUUCUGAAAAAACCUUACAGAACCUGAUGUAAGACUUCAUUGGUUACAACUGUAUGGGACAGGAUUGUGUGUAUGUAUAUAUAUAUUUACAUUUGUGGAUGUUUGCGCAUGCACACAAGCAUAAAUACACAGUGUUAGAAUUUCUUUAAGUUAUACAAUUAUUUCUGUAUCUUACAGUGUCCUACCACGCACAAAUUGUAACUGAAAGUAGCUGCAUGAUUAUUUGUACGCAUUCAACAACCAGUGACUGUAAAUAAAAAGAAGAUAUGGAAAUGCACUAACAUUUGAAUAAUGACAGCUUUUAAAAUAGAAAGAAGAUGACUUGGAAGAAAGUUACAGUUUCAAGUAGAAUGCUGGCAGGAAUUUGAGACACUGUUUGGACUUAGAAAAAUCUUCAACUUUUAGUACAAAAAUGUAUUGUGGACAAGACGAAAUCUAGAGUAUCUACCAUACUUUGCACACUAUUUGAUACUUUUGCAAGGCUUGAGAGAGACUUUCUGGCCAACAGUAACAAACAGAUCAUACAGAGUUUGCAGUUACAUAAUAUUUUCCAAAUACUACUGCACUAGAAACUAAAAAACCAUGUUCAAAUGUGUCAGAGGAAAUCAUUGUAAUGCUCUAUUAACACUACAGAGGCAAGCAUUCAAGUCAGGCAUCUGAACACCGUAUGAGCAGUAUGAUGAACGUGCAUAAUUGUAUGACCUGGGGUUAAGAAAAAGUACUCUUCUAAGGGCCCCAAACUCCACAAUAUACCUCAGUGAGAAAACUCUUCUCUUUGCUCGCUCCCAUAUUCUUGACUUGUAGAUUCUUAUAUUUUAAUUACAAGUAUGUAGAUAACUUAGAGUUUGUUGUUUGUUUGGUUUUUUUUUUUCUGUCACAGGCAAAUUUUCUGUACUUCUACGUGGUAUUUGCCUCUAUCUCAACAAAGUAACUAAGAAGUUUCUGUGAAUUAAGAGCAGAGACAAAUAUAUUACAUCUCUUUAACUGAUGAAAGCAGCAGAUUUUCACUGAUCUGCAGGCAGCUGUUCUGUGUUCAGUGGAGUCGGAUGCCCAUCAUUUUCAUUUUUAUAUGAAAAAUGUUUCUUGGAAAACUCAUUAUCCCUAUUCAGGAGCCUUAAUAUAAAAUGAAAUUGGUCAAAAGGAUCUGAACACCUAAUACACAGUUCUGUCAUUCCUGUAUGGAACUUCUGGCAUAAAAGAAAACUGAGAAGGAUCACUAUUAGCAGUGGCCAGCUUUAGCUAAGCACUUCAAAAUGCACAGAACUAGGCAGAGAAUAGAUGAAGCUUUAUGCUGGUCUGACUGCUAGGGAAAUGAAUUUAUGUCUUCAGUAGCAUUUCCUUAGAAGAAUGCAUUGUGACUCCCUGUACACUCUGUAACACAAAGGGAUGAAGAUUUCUUUUGUUUUUGAGUCUCUGGUUUGGUUGUUGGUCAAGUACAACAGAAGGGGAAGAGGGAGUUACAUCUACAUGGUUGAAUAAAUAAAAAGCACUGAUAAAUACCGGAGUAAGAUUUUCCCUUCUGUAAGAAAAUGCAGUUGUUUCCAUAAUAUAUUCAUUAAAUGUAGAAAUGUAAAGGGUGUGUUUUCUUUUAUGUAUUCCCAUUUGACAAAUAAAUAACUGAUUAAUAUCUGUACUGCAUAUUCUUCCAGAAUAAUUAUUUCCUUUUGGAUGAACUCAGAAAACAAGUCCGUGGAUGAUACUAUACCUGUUUCCAGACAAAUACUUGUGAGCAUUCCCAACCUGUUAAAAGGAAGCAAUUACGGUAGAGGACCAGACUGCAUGGAUGACCUGAACCUUGCUCACAACAGAUGAGAAAAAAUGACAUUUUUCUCCUUUCUGAAAGACUUUUAUAGCUUGUGAAAAGGAAACUUCAAGGAAGGUGGGGAGAUUGAAGGCUGGACUGCAUUUAUCUUGCUCUUAUAUGAUAUGCUUUUCCUCAAAAACAAACAAACAAAAAAAAAAGCCACAAACUACUGAAAGAAGUGAAGCUAAAACAGAGUAUUUUUAUGGAUUUCCUAGAGUGCACAUAUACAACCUGGAAUGAACGUACAGAAGGAAUGUUUAUCUUUAAGUUUGGCCAGGAAAAUGAAGAAUUGGAGAAUGGCUCACAGAGAGCUCAGUUUGAACAAAGGAAUUUCUCAAAUAAGGUGCAAAUAUAGAUAGAAUAGAUUAUCUGAAAUAAGAAAAAGCAUUAAGUCAAAGUAUGCUAAAGAAAUUAGUGGACUUAAAAUUUGGUCAUCUAUGAACUUACAUAUAUUUAUUCUUUAACUAUAUCUAAUAAUGGUAUGAUGAUGAAGCGUAUGCAAAAAUCUACUCAGUUUGAAACACCCUCCUAAAGCUAACAAAUAUAAAUACUUUCAAUAGAAUGCUUCUAAUAAAUUAUUAGAGGAACACAGGGCAAAAAAUAGAAGCAAUCAUCCUGAGAAAACCUAGGUGACCUGAUGCUGUGCUAAAGGAGACAGCAAACUAAUUCUUGGAAUGAGAAGAGGCAGGAAGGGUUUCUAGACCAGGCAUGGUAGGAGCACUAAGUGUUGAGGGGAUGAACCCUGGUUCUCCACCACCAAGUGCUGACUACCAGAAAGGUAUUGCACAUUGACAGAACCCACAAAGUCAGUGUGCCAUAGCAUCCUGUCUUUGGAGAACAAAACUAAGAACAUGUAAAGGGCAGAAAUAACAGCUGAAUUUAAGCAGACUUGAAGCUGAAAGCAAUGUAACAGAAUUGAGGUCAUACAGAAAGGUGGAUUACAUAUUAGAGCCUGGAAGUCUCAUCCUACCAGGCCAAGCAGCAUUCAACAAAGAAGAAUGAGGAAUAGGAAUUUUGGGGUUUGUUUUUCAUCUUUUUCUUGUUUUCUUUCUAAAUAAAAUUGACAUAUCUAGAAAACUGAAAGCCAGGCAGACUGGGCAGCGAGAAAUAUUUUCCUGUGUUACAUUUAUUUUACUAAAAAGCACUGUUGCUCAGGCAGAUCCUGUACUACAAAAAUAUGCAAAGUUUUUGCAAAAACAAAGGUAUGUGGCAGCUCUUCUCACUAUAAUGAGUGAGGGAGGGACAUUCUGAGGAGAUGAAUGAAGUAUGGGUGCCUUCUGCAAAAAAAGAGCUGUUUCAUUCCUGAACUACUAUCUACUUUCUAAGUAGGUUGGUCUCCUGAUCAGAAUAAUCUUUUUAUUUUUAUUAUUUCUAUUUCCUUUUAAUCAUUUUUGUGAAGCCUAUUUUUACUAAUAUUUGUUCAGUUGCAGCAAUAACCACCAAAAGGUGGUUAUUAUCUUUUGAAUUAGUGUGAUGUUCUAUAAAGAAAGAGGAAACAUUUCUGUCUGCAGUAAAAACAGUAGAAACACAGGAGGUUUUAAACUGCUUUUUAGUACGAUAGCAAAGAUUUCAUGGGAAGGUAACUAUAAGCACCAUCAAGAACAGCUCUGACCUUAACACAUACCUCAAAGGACAAUUAGGUUUAGCUCUGGAGGGUUUUUAUCUUUAAACAUCUUGCUGAGUAAAAACUCUUCCUACAGUCAUCAGACUGUACUGACUUUGUUACAUGCCAAACACAGUAUUUGUGGCUGCAAUAGAGCACCAGAUAUUUAAUGUUCUUGCUGUUAUGGCAUAUGCAUAAUGCACAGCUUAUGCAACUUUCAUGGGUUUUUCUUUGCUGCACCCUUUAAUCUCUCUCAGAAGACCUUUGUGGUGUUAUUCUUUAUUUAUUUUACAUAGUGCUUGCACCCAUCAAGGAUAAACAAAAUAAAACUUCUGGAAGUUACCAGGCCAGUUAUCUAUUUGGAGACUUGGUUAACUUUGAGCACUAUAUACAAAACAUAUGCUACCAAUCAUGCAAGUCACAGACCUCUGAUGAGGUGAAACCACAAUUUUUCAUACGUAAGUAUGAUGAAAGAGGUAAGUUUCAACCAGCUAAAGUGCCCGUGAAUAAUAACUUUGUAACAAGAAAGAUUAGGCCUGACAUGCAAACAUCUUUUUGUAAAAAGAAACUUUUUGAUCAAGCUGUGAAUUUAAAUGCAAUAACUGAAAAAAAAAAAAAAAGAAAGAAAAAAAAAAGAUAAUAGAGGAAAAAUUUGUACAAGUUGCAAAGACCAUUCUCUCAAAAGGAGAAAAAGAUGAAAUGAAAUUGCCCUGUAUUCCCUGUUAACAAUUUUCUCUCCAACAUAUCUUAAGUUAACUAGCCUGAGGUAUAUCCUGUGGACACAGCAAUGACUGCAUGCACACCGUGUGCGCUCAAGAAUAGCAAGUAAGUAUGAAGUCGUGGAGUUAGUAAGGACUAGUAAGGACUUCACCACUAGGCCUGAAAAAAUGAAGAGAUCAUUGUGAUGUCCUUAAGGACCUCUCCUUAAGGACCUGACAGCCUGAGGCAGAUAGGAAGGACAUCACACUGAUGAGGUAGAAGUGUUUGUGAAAGCCCUAACAAUGUUUUUAUUUUUUUAUUUUUUAUUUUUAUUUUUUGCUUUUUACAGGAGAAACUAUAAGCUCAUUAAGAAAUGAUAAUCAUUCUGUUCCUCUCACAUAACAUGGAGAACUGUACAAGAUGGAAGAAUAUUAAGAGCUAUCACAGAGUACUAUACUCUAAUGAGGAAAGCUCAUGCUUCAAUUUCCUGAGUUUGACCUCUGAAAAGGCACUGAGCCUCUAGGAAUCAAGGUGUUUUUUUUUCUUUCCUUCUGUGUAUUGAGUUCUUCAUUUGUUCAAUGGGGCUAAUAUAACCUCUGUACCUUCUGAGAAUAGAAACGUUAAAGACUGACUCAGUUUUAUGGUAAUGGAAACCAUUUUGUAAGCAAGACCAAAAGAAUCUCCUCUGAAGACCAGUUACAGCCAGAAUGAGAUAGGUCUCUUUCAAAUAUAGCAAAAACUUUCCAAAACAGAGCAUAUAAUAAAUGCACUAGUUUCCUUUUUCUCUCAUUUUAAUCUGCAACAAUGAAAAAUAUUCACUGUGUUUCUUUUCACUACCAUUUCCUUUUUUUCCUUUGUUUUUCUUUAUUCCUUCCCACUCUCAUUCCAUUCCCUACUUUUAUAAUUCCUUUGCUAAUAAACAAAUAGUCCACUCAUCUAAUUCCUUGACUUCAGUGUGCUACAAACCAGCAUAAGGGCUGCAGAAUUUGAUGAAUGCAAGACAGAAUGGAAGCAGAAGAGAAAGUACGAUACGAGGAGGCGAACAGCUCUGGAGUACUGAGCUCAGCAGGCUAAAUACUACCGCCCUGAUAAGCAAUCUCCAAAGGUACGCGUGUACAAUGCCGACAACAGUCUGAAACUCUAUUGCUAUAUUUACAUUAAGGCACAGUAGAAGAUGGGGUGACAAAAGCAGCUGCUACUGAGGACUUGACAUUCACAGCACACAUGUUUCGGAAGGUUUAUCCUGGACUAUCUUUAGGCAGGUUCUGUGGAUGAGCAUUCAUUGCGUUUCAAAAAGGUCUGCGGCUUGAGGUUAAACAAAAUGGAAUCAAGCUCACGUGCUCUGGAAUUACACAUGGUGUGAAUCCAAGCAGAACAAUUAAAAACAUCCAGGAAAUGAGCUUUAAAGUCACCUUCUUUUCUCCAAAUCUAAAUACUGAUGUAAGUGCAUCCUAUGUCAUUUAAAAUUCUCUUGACUUCACAAGUAUUCCAUGUAAAUUUCCCAAUGAAUUUUUGGGAAAUGGACCUUAAUGAAAAUUGAUUUUUAAAUAAAAGUUAUGUUGUUCUUAUUGGAGAACACAGUGAUUUGUAAUGUAAUAGGAGGUUUUUAUGUUUUGUUCAGACUAUCUGGAUAGACAAGAAGAAUGUGCAUGUAGGAAACGUACAGUCUGCAACACCUAUAAAGGUUACAAAAGUGUACAAAAACAUCUCUUGAAAUUUAAAAUAUUGUUGAUGAAAGGAAUGCUUUUAAACUUUUUAGAGGAGCCACACAUGACAUUUUACCCUUUAAAGAUGGGAAGGUAACAAGAACUUUUCUUCCCCAAAAUGUGGAGCACGCUCAGGUGAAGCUGAAACUGAAUUUCCAGUUAGAUCUCUGCUGCAGCUUACAAAGCUACCUAAAUCGAAGUGACAGUCCAGCCAGGAACUGAGAAAUAUGUCACAACAAAUUCUUUUUAAAUAUAAAAUAAUUUCACAUGCUCUGCAGACCAUUACCAUUUUGUAAUUUUAAAGAGAGAUGAAGACAAUCCUUGCACAAGGACGUUUCAGGUGUUCUUUACCCAUAACCACUUUAGUGAUUACAACUUUUUUAUUCUAUUGCUAUGUUUGCUGAUUAUGUACUUCAUGUAAAACAUCUUAAGGAAAUCAUCCUUUACAUUGUAUGAUUUGCAUUCGUCAUUAUUUUUUACUAUGACUAGUAUAACUAUUAUACUAUGACUAUAACCUCUUAAUUCAUUCCAUGAAAGAUUUGAAAAAAAAAAAAAGAAAAGAAAUUAGACCUACUUUUUGGAUCAUUAAGUAGUGCAUAAUCUUCAAAUGGGACAUUAAAAACUGUAAUCAGUGACAUCACCAUGACAACCGAUUAAGAAUUGUCUAGAGAAGCCUCUGAAAAUGCAAUUUUUUAAUAUAAUACAUUUAAAUGAGUUCAUCAGAACAAAGCACUCUAAGUAGAUUUAUUAUGAAUUGAACAUCUAGAAAUAAUUUGGAUAUACAAUGAACACUGAAAUUUUUUCACUCUGACUUCAGGAGAUAGGGGGUGGCAUCAAAAUUCUUUCUUGACUUUGAUAGACUUAGCAGGGGAGGGAAUAUCAAAGAAAAAAUCAGUUGUCUUGCACUAACAGACUGGAUUUCAUUAACUGGUUUUGGGGCAUGCUUCUUCCUGUAUUAUUUAGUCUCCUAACGUGUAGCUACAGUUUACACCAGGUGAGGGCCUCUAAGAAUUAGGCAUUGCUUAAAUUCCCCUUACGCUUUAGCCUGAUGAUCUUACACGAAGCUAUGCCCACUGUCCAGCUCACUCUAAUGAGUGAAACUGGAAGCAGCAGAAACAUCAUUCUGUCACAUAUCAACAGUAAAAUAUAAAUAAAACAUCAUACAAUGUCUACUGCAGUAUAUUGUGUUACAUACCUAUAUAAAUGAUAUACUUAGUAGUUGAGGAAAAAAUACUCAUGGACUAAAGGCCAAUCAAAAUAAUAUUUUUAUCUGUAUCACAGAAGAUUAAAGAGAAAUACAUAUAUACAUUUUUUACAGAUAAUCUGUUUGAAAAGAUUAGCUAUACUUAACAAGAGUAAACUACCCAGCAUGCAUGAGCCCUGCUCAUCCUCAGAACAGCUAAAAGAAUGUAGGAAUUUCUUCCUCGUGUCUCCCAGUUUCCAAGUUGCCUCUCUAAGUUACAGCUUGUUCUUGUCUUUUACGGUUAUGUCUCCUUCUUCUGCCAGCUGUAUUUUUUAUGCCCUUUUCUAGAACAGAACUUGCACUAGUGACGUUGUUGCAAGCAGACUGCAUGUUUAGAACAAAGACUUUCCACAACGCUGCCUUGUGUAAGUGCUAUUGUUGCAGAAUGGGGAGGAGGUUUAAGUUUCCACAUAGUAGAAGCUCUCACUUAGAAUGAUACAGUGUUUUUUACUGCAAGAAGUUCACAACAGGGACAGUAUGUCAGUCACUGUAAUCUGCCACUGUUCUAUGUUGGCUGGGUCCGCAAUAUUUUAUAUCAGCUGCAAAUCUGCCUCUUAAAAGCAUGCUGGUCCAUCCUAAAGCACAAUGAAACUAGGAACGUUUUAGUCAAGGACUGCGUCUCAGACUGAAAUGACAGUCUGUCUUUGGCAUGCUCACCCUCCAAAAACUUUAACGCAGCUGCAGAAAAAUGUUCUUAAUGCCUUCAGAAAUCUGACUGAUUUGAAUUGGUAUCAAAACUAGAGGCAUUCCCAAAUCACCAAUCCCUUUUGAAAACCCAGGCUAUUAUACUUACAAAACACUGACUCUCCAUUAAACUCCUUGUUAUUCUUUUUCUAAUGAGACACUUUACCAGCCUGUCAUCACCCGCUGUGAUUAAUUCUCUACUUGUAAAAUUUUAGCUCUCUCUCUGCUGCUGCUGUUAAUGUGCUUUGUACCAAAUAAAAAUGAAGCUGAUGUUUACAAAUCCUGUCUGGAGGUUGCUUUAAAAAAGCCCUUCUUUGCCUUACAUUAAUGAGGCCAAGUACACCAAUUUUUGUUCAAAAUUAUUCUGGAUAAUUAAACACUGUAACAGACUACCAUGGAAGAUGUAAAACUCACUAUUGUUUAAAUGGCUCUAAAAUAUAAUAUCUUUCAAAAUAUAUGCCUACCUGUCCAUGGUCCACAUACAGACGAAUUCAGAUUUGAAGAUCGUAUGCAUUCUUCUCAUCUAAUGUUUGUGAAUCUAGGAAUAAGAAAAACCUUUUUGAAAAACAAAACAAAACAAAACAAAC